GGCACAGUGGCGGAGUGGUCCGCAUCUGCAGUACAUAGCUGGGAUGAUAGAAUGUAGGCAGAAGAUGCUUGUUCAAAUCAAGCCUGAGCCA